rnacentral:rRNA from 1 species
GUAGGCGGCUUUUUAAGUCGGGUGCGAAAUCUUGCGGCUCAACCGUAUAGACUGUGCUCGAAACUAUAAAGCUAGAGGUAGGUAGAGGCAAGUGGAAUUUCUGGUGUAGGAGUGACAUCCGUAGAUAUCAGAAGGAACACCAAUGGCGAAGGCAGCUUGCUGGGCCUUACCUGACGCUCAGAGACGAAAGCGUGGGGAGCGAACGGGAUUAGAUACCCCGGUAGUCCACGCCGUAAACGAUGAUAACUAGUAGUAUGAAGAUUCGACCCUUUGUGCUACGAAGCUAACGCGAUAAGUUAUCCGCCUGGGGAGUACGAGCGCAAGCUUAAAACUCAAAGGAAUUGACGGGGACCCGCACAAGCAGAGGAGGAUGUGGUUUAAUUCGAAGCUAAGCGAAGAACCUUACCGAGGCUUGACAUCUCUGGAAUUUUGGCGAAAGCCGAAAGUGCCUUCGGGAACCAGAUGACAGAUGCUGCAUGGCCGUCGUCAGCUCGUGUCGUGAGAUGUUGGGUUAAGUCCCGCAACGAGCGCAACCCUCGUCGUCAGUUGUAUUUUCUGGCGAGACCGCCCGGGCCAACCGGGAGGAAGGUGGGGAUGACGUCUGGUCAGCAUGGCUCUUACGCCUCGGGCUACACACGUCCUACAAUGGACACUACAACGCGCUGCCAAACCGUAAGGUGGAGCAAAUCGCAUCAAAAGUGGUCUCAGUUCGGAUUGAGGGCUGAAACUCGCCCUCAUGAAGCUGGAUUUG